UGCGUAGGCUGUGCGUCAAGUCGGGGUGAAAUUCCGGUGCUCAACACCGAGGCUGCCCUUGAUACUGUCGCGCUGGAGUGCGGAUGCCGCCGGAGGAAUGAGUGGUGUAGCGGUGAAAUGCUUAGAUAUCACUCAGAACACCGAUUGCGAAGGCAUCUGGCGAAUCCGUAACUGACGCUGAGGCACGAAAGCGUGGGGAUAGAACA
rnacentral:rRNA from 1 species